rnacentral:rRNA from 1 species
GACGAACGCUGGCGGCGUGCUUAACACAUGCAAGUCGAGCGGAAAGGCCCUUCGGGGUACUCGAGCGGCGAACGGGUGAGUAACACGUGAGUAACCUGCCCUUCACUUUGGGAUAACCCUCGGAAACGGGGGCUAAUACCGGAUACGACACACCAGCGCAUGUUGUGUGUGUGGAAAGUUUUUCGGUGGGGGAUGGGCUCGCGGCCUAUCAGCUUGUUGGUGGGGUGAUGGCCUACCAAGGCGACGACGGGUAGCCGGCCUGAGAGGGCGACCGGCCACACUGGGACUGAGACACGGCCCAGACUCCUACGGGAGGCAGCAGUGGGGAAUAUUGCACAAUGGGCGGAAGCCUGAUGCAGCGACGCCGCGUGAGGGAUGACGGCCUU